rnacentral:rRNA from 1 species
GACGGAGGGUGCUAGCGUUGUUCGGAAUCACUGGGCGUAAAGGGCGCGUAGGCGGCCCAUGCAGUCGGUUCGUGAAAGCCCGGGGCUCAACCCCGGAGGUGCGGCCGAAACACAUGGGCUGGAGGCCGGAAGAGGAGGGUGGAAUACCCAGUGUAGAGGUGAAAUUCGUAGAUAUUGGGUGGAACACCGGUGGCGAAAGCGGCUCUCUGGUCCGGUCCUGACGCUGAGGCGCGAAAGCGUGGGGAGCAAACAGG